AAGGAUUUUUUGAGGACAUGAGAAAGUAGUGAGCCAGUGGAUAGACAAAUGGGCAGAAAUACACAAGAAUGAGCAACAGAAUGGCACAGAAUGGCAGUAAGGCUACUACCACCCCAGUGAUGACAGAAUGCUUGGUGCAGGGUCAGAAGGCAGGUGAAGAUAAAUGGGGCACCUGGGCUGAGGCUGUGACAGAAUCACUAUUAGCAUGUUUCUUUAUCUCACGCUGGUGCCGUGUUCCCUCACUCCUCACAGACCUCCGAUCAGAAUCGACCCAUCUGCUCUCAGCUUCCGUCACCUGAGAAGAGCCGAGAACAGCGAGAGCCACGGGGCAAACGCACCGGGCCCCGUUUCGCUGCCGUAGCCUCCCCUUCGGCUCCGAUCUCACUGACACAUUAUCAAUACCUGGCUUCGCGUGCACCAUGAAAAAUACAUGCUUUGAAAUGCAAUUUAAAAGCCAUUUAGGCAGUACACUGGCUCAGCGCCUGAAGGGGCCCGAGAGAAGACUUCCCAGGGCGUGUUUUCACUCGACUGAGCCGAGCACACGUGCUAAACGACGCAAGAUGAUUCCAGCGCCUGUAACCGAGCACGUUCUCCGGUUCACUGUUCUCGCGGGUCGGCUCCUCAGGGCAUCUGAGCAGUCUCAGGGGGCCAGCCGGAUCAGCCACAGCCCGGGAAAGCAGGCCCCUGGCAUCUGUCUCAUCCCGAUCCCGCUGCCACCCCCACAGACUCCCUCCACAGGAACCCCCCGCUCAGUCCUGCCAGGCAAGCCGGCAUCAAACACACAGUACAGGACCAACAGAACCUCGCUGUCAUCAGGACGAUGGUGAGAGGUUACUAAAAACCUCUCGAUGUUUCAGUCAGUAAAAUUAAAGGCACGUAACUCUGCUUAUGUGAGCACAGUAAUGUGCACAAAUUGUGCUGGGCAUAUUUUGCCUAAUAAUAAUAUAUUUGUACAGGUCAUCUAAUGUGCUCCGUUGUCAGAACAAAGGAACUUCACUCGUAUAAUUUAAAUCCGACCAGCUUGCUUGUAAUUCAAUGAUGGCUAUUGCUUUUGUUUGACUGUAUUUAUAGCGGUUAAGGAAGCGCCCCCGUAGUCAGAAGGUUGCCGGUUCGAAUCCUGAUCAGCCAAGGUGCCACUGAGGUGCCACUGAGCAAAGCACCGUCCCCACACACUGCUCCCCGGGUGCCUGUCAUAGCUGCCCACUGCUCACUCAGGGUGAUGUGUUAAAUGCAGAGGACAAAUUUCACUGUGUGCAUCGUGUGCUGUGCUGCUGUGUAUCACAUGUGACAAUCACUUCACUUUCAAUAGUAUUUUCAUUUCAUAACACUCACAAAACCUGCAACAACCAAUAAAACCAAUAAGAUCAGCUACAUGUGUUGUGUGAUGCUGCUCCACACAGACCGCAAUUUACAUGUGUUGGGCAGGCCAACACAAUGGUACAUAUCAGCUACCGCAUCUAUUCAGAGGUCUCAGGAAAAGUGAAUUUACAUGAACAGAAAAAGUCUGGAUGCUACGGCAAUAUUUCCCCUUGAGGUACAGAGUGUUGUUGCAGGGCAAGACAGGCCACUGCUAGCUACAUUCCAACACAAGUAUAAAAUAUAUAAUAUAAUUGAAGACAACAACAAAAUGUGGGUAAUAUGUAUGUUUAACAAUAUUAACAAAUGAUACUUUGUACUUUGACAGUUAUUAUUGCAAUUAAUUAUUGCACACAAGCACAAAUGUUACUGCACAAAUCUGCACAUACACAAUUUAUAUUUUAUAAAUAUAUUCAGGGAGAAAAUUUAAUAUUUAGUCUAAUAUUAAUACAAACAGUAAAUAAUCUAUAAAUAUUAAAUGUUAUGUUAUUUUAACCUUUAAUAUACUUUAAGCAUAUUU
ensembl:lncRNA